rnacentral:miRNA from 1 species
UAGCACCAUUUGAAACCAGU